ACGGGGGGGGCAAGCGUUGUUCGGAAUUACUGGGCGUAAAGGGUUCGUAGGUGGCCAACUAAGUCAGACGUGAAAUCCCUCAGCUUAACUGGGGAACUGCGUCUGAUACUGGUUGGCUUGAGUGCAGGAGAGGAACGCGGAAUUCCAGGUGUAGCGGUGAAAUGCGUAGAUAUCUGGAGGAACACCGGUGGCGAAGGCGGCGUUCUGGACUGCAACUGACACUGAGGAACGAAAGCCAGGGGAGCAAACGGGAUUAGAUACCCCGGUAGUCCUGGCCCUAAACGAUGAAUGCUUGGUGUGGCGGGUAUCGAUCCCUGCCGUGCCGUAGUUAACGCGAUAAGCAUUCCGCCUGGGGAGUACGGUCGCAAGGCUG
rnacentral:rRNA from 1 species